rnacentral:rRNA from 1 species
UACGUAGGGGGCGAGCGUUAUCCGGAUUUACUGGGUGUAAAGGGAGCGUAGACGGUUAAUCAAGUCUGAAGUGAAAGCCCGCGGCUCAACUGCGGAACGGCUUUGGAAACUGAGUAACUGGAGUGCUGGAGGGGCAGGCGGAAUUCCUGGUGUAGCGGUGAAAUGCGUAGAUAUCAGGAGGAACACCGGUGGCGAAGGCGGCUUACUGGACAGUGACUGACGUUGAGGCUCGAAAGCGUGGGGAGCGAACAGG